GACGAACCGUGCGAGCGUUGUUCGGAAUCACUGGGCUUAAAGGGCGCGUAGGCGGCUCGCGAGGUCGGGGGUGAAAUCCCGCAGCUUAACUGCGGAAGGGCCUCCGAUGCCGGCGGGCUGGAGGAAGGUAGGGGUGCGCGGAACUUCUGGUGGAGCGGUGAAAUGCGUUGAUAUCAGAAGGAACGCCGGCGGCGAAAGCGGCGCACUGGACCUUUUCUGACGCUGAGGCGCGAAAGCUAGGGGAGCAAACGGG
rnacentral:rRNA from 1 species